UACAGAGGUGGCAAGCGUUGUUCGGAAUUACUGGGCGUAAAGGGCGCGUAGGCGGUCUUCUAAGUCUUGUGUGAAAUCCCUCGGCUCAACUGAGGAACUGCACGGGAUACUGGAAGACUUGAGUUCGGGAGAGGGAAGCGGAAUUCCGGGUGUAGCGGUGAAAUGCGUAGAUAUCCGGAGGAACACCGAUGGCGAAGGCGGGUCUCUGGGCCGAUACUGACGCUGAGGAGCGAAAGCGUGGGGAGCGAACAGG
rnacentral:rRNA from 1 species